UAUUGCGCAAUGGGGGCAACCCUGACGCAGCAACGCCGCGUGAAGGAAGAAGGCCUUCGGGUUGUAAACUUCUUUGAUCGGGGACGAAACUGACGGUACCCGAGGAACAAGCCACGGCUAACUACGUGCCAGCAGCCGCGGUAAUACGUAGGUGGCAAGCGUUGUCCGGAAUUACUGGGCGUAAAGGGCGUGUAGGCGGGGCGGCAAGUCAGGUGUGAAAUCCCGGGGCUUAACUCCGGAGCUGCAUCUGAAACUGCUGUUCUUGAGUGCUGGAGAGGAAAGUGGAAUUCCCAGUGUAGCGGUGAAAUGCGUAGAGAUUGGGAGGAACACCAGUGGCGAAGGCGGCUUUCUGGACAGUAACUGACGCUGAGGCGCGAAAGCGUGGGGAGCAAACAGG
rnacentral:rRNA from 1 species